AUAAUUCAUAGAGAUCUAAAAGCUAGCAACAUUUUAUUAGAUUAUGAAAUGAAUCCUAAAAUUUCAGACUUUGGCCUUGCAAGAAGCUUUGGAGGAAAUGAAACUGAAGCAAAUACGAAUAAGGUGGUGGGAACAUACGGUUACAUGUCACCAGAGUAUGCAAUUGAUGGCCUCUACUCAGCAAAAUCCGAUGUGUUCAGCUUUGGAGUUAUAGUGCUAGAGAUAGUGAGUGGGAAAAGGAACAGGGGAUUCUGUCAUCCAGAACACCAUCUUAACCUUCUUGGACACGCAUGGAGACUAUACAUGGAGGGUAGGUCCAUUGAAAUGAUUGAUGCGUCAGUGAGAAGUUCAUGCAACUUAUCUGAAGUGCUAAGGUCAGUUCAUGUUGGUUUACUUUGUGUGCAACGAAGGCUAGAAGAUAGGCCGAGCAUGUCAGCUGUGGUUUUUAUGUUGGGCUGUGAAGGUGCAUUGCCUGAGGCUAAGCAGCCAGGAUUCUUCACAGAAAGAGAUCUCAUCGAAGUGAAUUCCUCCUCAAACAAGCACAGCUCCUCUUCUGCAAAUGGGCCGACUAUAACACUACUACAGGCACGAUAAAUCGUAUAUCAUGUACAAUAAACUUUUAAAAGAUUUAUGCCAAUUAGACUGCACUAUUAUAAUUUUUUUUUUAUAGGGUAUAACUUUUUGAGGAAUUAUUAGGUGCACCCGGACACCUUCUCUCACAAUCACGUGGGAUCCACUUCCUAUAUAAUAGGAAGGACCCACUUUCUGUGAGAGAAAGAGCACUAUUUUUUAGUGCACCGGGUGCACCUCAUAAUUAGCCUACAAAUUUUGGGUAUUCUCAAAUCGGUUGCAAGUGCAGCCCUCUCCACAAAUAAAUAUCAACAUUUAUGCCCACGUUGGCGAGUAGGUUAUUUAGGCAUAUGCUAUUGCGUUGAAUUGGUAGGUCUCUGAAAGGAAAAAAUUAACAUCAGCGAAACGCAGCUUAUAUAAACAGAGGCUCAAGGCUUCUGCAAGUCACAACUCAAAAGAGAUGACUAAUGAAAUAACGUCUCCUCUUUGUUCAACUCACAAACCUUACAAGGAAACCUAUGCAUUAUAAAUAUGAUAAAUAGCGAAUGCAAAUGGAUAUUUUCAAAUUCACAAAGCCAUAAAAUAAGAACAGAAAUUAUUGAAUAGAAUCCAAACUUGCUGUAAUCACCCCAUUUACGAGUGGAUCAUCACAUGCCAAUAAUACUGCGUAGCUAUCCAAAAUGGAUGCCAACAGCCUAAAUGUGUUAUUGGUACUCAGUCUAGGCAUUUGCUAUUGACAAAUAUUCAACCAAGUGGCAGCAACAAAUUGUAGAAUAUUGACAUUCUCCAACAUAAUCACGCAUUAAAAAUCUGGAAAAACUUUAUGAAAAAUUAAUCCACUUUACCAGAAAUUAUAGGCAGAAACAGCAACACCAUGAUUAUGAUAGGUCAUGAAUUAAGGUUCAUGGUACGGGUAAUCGAUCAAUUCUACUUGCAUGUUUAAGACAGUAGAUAAUGUAUAUAAUGAAACGUAAUUAAAUUGAUUUACUUAAUACUGACAGCAUGUAAGCUAUAGUAUGUGCAAGGUAAUAGUUGAAGUCUUUUAAGCAUAUCAUCAAACAACUUGAGGGUUUCCCUUCGAUCACUAUUUCUGUGCAUCAAAUCAGAUAACUGGUCUAUACCCAGCCACCCAACCACCCAUUCAUGGGGGUAGUAAGUGUUAUCCAUCAAAAGUAUACAUGUGAGAUGGGAUUUAGUAGACAGCGGUAUCAAACACCCGCCAUCUGUGGAUUCCAUCCCUACGGUUGUCUGGCCGCUGCCUAAUUAUAUACCUACUUUCCCAAAAACAGCUCUCUGCUUUGAGAAAACAGGCAGCAAUCAGGCUUUCUCUGUCUGCACUGUUGUUCAGUGAGGAAACAAAAAUAAAGCGCUUCCUCACAACAAACACAACAAAUGCAAAUUCUUAUUAAAUCAAAGACGAGCUAACAUUAAUAUUGCCAAGAAAAAAAAUCUUGUGAUUUGGGUUCAUAUCAAGUGUAAAAGAUUGAAAGAACCGUCAUUGUGGGAAAAACCCAAAUCAAAAAAAGGUCAAGAAAGAGGGAAAAAUGACAAAUUGGAGACACCCAAGCACAGACUCUUUGAAAAGAGUGGCGGCAUCUUCUUCUUUGCCUUUCAUCCUAUCUUUUUAACCCUUUAAUCGAGAUGGGUCUUGACUGUUGUUGGGAUCCCACUCAAGCCUCUCUCUUUCAAAUCAUAACCCAUUAGCUUAAACAAUUAAACAACAAAAGCAACAACAAAUGAAGAUUGAGGAGAAAUAUUGAUGACAAUUUUAGGCUAUGAGGGAUUUUAUGACGGCCGCAGUUUCAAAAUACAGAGGAAGUGCUACUCAAGC
rnacentral:misc_RNA from 1 species